CAGUAGCCGCGGUAAUACGGAGGGUGCAAGCAUUAAUCGGAAUUACUGGGCGUAAAGCGCACGCAGGCGGUCUGACAAGUCAGAUGUGAAAUCCCCGGGCUUAACCUGGGAACUGCAUUUGAAACUGUCAGGCUGGAGUCUUGUAGAGGGGGGUAGAAUUCCAGGUGUAGCGGUGAAAUGCGUAGAGAUCUGGAGGAAUACCGGUGGCGAAGGCGGCCCCCUGGACAAAGACUGACGCUCAGGUGCGAAAGCGUGGGGAGCAAACAGGAUUAGAUACCCGCGUAGUCCCUGUCUCUUAUAC
rnacentral:rRNA from 1 species